rnacentral:SRP_RNA from 18 species
CGGCCACAGGCACUGAGCCAGGCCCGGAAGACAGCGGACCAGCCCACGAUGGCCCGGAUUCGCGUGACGGUGAGGAGU